CCUACGGGUGGCAGCAGUGGGGAAUAUUGGACAAUGGGCGAAAGCCUGAUCCAGCCAUGCCGCGUGUGUGAAGAAGGCCUUCGGGUCGUAAAGCACUUUCAGUGGGGAAGAAAGCCUUGGGGCUAAUACCCUCGAGGAAGGACAUCACCCACAGAAGAAGCAACGGCUAACUCCGUGCCAGCAGCCGCGGUAAUACGGAGGGUGCGAGCGUUAACCGGAAUUACUGGGCGUAAAGCGCGCGUAGGCGGUCUGAUAAGCCGGUUGUGAAAGCCCCGGGCUCAACCUGGGAACGGCAUCCGGAACUGUCAGGCUAGAGUGCAGAAGAGGAAGGUAGAAUUCCCGGUGUAGCGGUGAAAUGCGUAGAGAUCGGGAGGAAUACCAGUGGCGAAGGCGGCCUUCUGGACUGACACUGACGCUGAGGUGCGAAAGCGUGGGUAGCAAACAGGAUUAGAUACCCUAGUAGUC
rnacentral:rRNA from 1 species